AUAUCGUGAUGAGGACCUUUUCUCAAUUGUUCCUUGAAUCUCUCCUAAGACUCAUAUAAAGAUUCCCACUCAAUCAGGUAAAAAUUAUUGAUCUCCCCCUUUAAUUU